GGGGAAUUUUCCGCAAUGGGCGAAAGCCUGACGGAGCAAGACCGCGUGAGGGAUGAAGGCCUUUGGGUUGUAAACCUCUUUUCUCAGGGAAGAAUACAAUGACGGUACCUGAGGAAUAAGCCUCGGCUAACUCCGUGCCAGCAGCCGCGGUAAGACGGAGGAGGCAAGCGUUAUCCGGAAUCACUGGGCGUAAAGCGUCCGCAGGUGGCUUUCCAAGUCUGCCGUCAAAGCCCGAGGCUUAACCUCGGAUCGGCGGUGGAAACUGGAUCGCUAGAGUGCGUCAGGGGUAGGGGGAAUUCCCGGUGUACCGGUGAAAUGCGUAGAUAUCUGGAAGAACACCAGUGACGAAAGUGCCCUACUGGGACGUUACUGACACUCAUGGAC
rnacentral:rRNA from 1 species